UACGUAGGGGGCUAGCGUUGUCCGGAUUUAUUGGGCGUAAAGGGUGCGUAGGCGGCGCGGUAAGUCGGGUGUGAAAUCUUGGAGCUUAACUCCGAAACUGCAUUCGAUACUGCCGUGCUUGAGGACUGGAGAGGAGACUGGAAUUUACGGUGUAGCGGUGAAAUGCGUAGAUAUCGUAAGGAAGACCAGUGGCGAAGGCGAGUCUCUGGACAGUUACCGACGCUGAGGCACGAAGGUCAGGGGAGCAAACGGG
rnacentral:rRNA from 1 species